AGCAGACGAACGGUUGACAAUCAGGUGAUUUAGAGGUGGACUAAUAGAACAGACUUCAACAAGAUACAAACACGUCAGUUUCCUAACCCAGUGAGCGUGUCGUUUAUUUUCUACAUAUGGAGUUGAUUUUUGCGUGGGCGGUGUUGAUGCAAUAUUGGUUCAUCACGUCAGCUGCAGAGACAGGUGCCUACUUCGCUUGCUACAAUCCAUAUGACAACGGAAUGUCGUAUAUUGGUCCAAAAGCAGAGUCAAGAAACGGCAAAAAGUGUUUAAACCAGGCAAACGGUGAAAUCUCUUAUUGUAGAAAUGUCGACAACUCGUCAUCAAGUCC